rnacentral:rRNA from 1 species
UACGUAGGGGGCUAGCGUUGUCCGGAAUCAUUGGGCGUAAAGAGCGUGUAGGCGGCCCGGUAAGUCCGCUGUGAAAGUCCAGGGCUCAACCCUGGGAUGCCGGUGGAUACUGUCGGGCUCGAGUCCGGAAGAGGAGUGUGGAAUUCCUGGUGUAGCGGUGAAAUGCGCAGAUAUCAGGAAGAACACCUAUGGCGAAGGCAGCUCUCUGGGACGGUACUGACGCUGAGACGCGAAAGCGUGGGGAGCGAACAGG